UACGUAGGGUGCGAGCGUUUGUCCGGAAUUAUUGGGCGUAAAGAGCUCGUAGGCGGUUUGUCACGUCUGCUGUGAAAUCCCGAGGCUCAACCUCGGGCCUGCAGUGGGUACGGGCAGACUGGAGUGCGGUAGGGGAGAAUGGAAUUCCUGGUGUAGCGGUGGAAUGCGCAGAUAUCAGGAGGAACACCGAUGGCGAAGGCAGUUCUCUGGGCCGUAACUGACGCUGAGGAGCGAAAGCGUGGGGAGCGAACAGG
rnacentral:rRNA from 1 species